rnacentral:sRNA from 1 species
GCCAGGUGUGGUGGCUCGCACCAGUAAUCCCAGCGUUUUGGGAGGCUGAGGUGGGGGAUUGCUUGAGCCUAGGAGUUCAAGACCAGCCUGGGCAACAUAGUGAGACCCCCAUCUCUCAAAAAAUAAAAAUAAAAAUAAGGGCCGGGCACAGUGGUUCACACUUGUAGUCCCAGCACUUUGGGAGGCUGUGGCAGGAGGAUCACUUGAGCCCAGGAGUUUGAGACCAGCCUGGGCAACAUAGUGAGACCCCAUCUCU